rfam:Schistosoma rodhaini strain Burundi genome assembly, scaffold: SROB_scaffold0015813
ACCCAGCUGACGAUUCACAAAUAGGACGAAACGCUCGUCCUGCAU